AUCUUUAAAUCAGCUUGUUGACUUUAAAAUCAUUCUGUAUAAAUAAAUAUAGAAAUACUGUAAAAUGUUUGACAUUAUUGUUCUAACAGAAGGUUACACCCAGCUGGACUCAAAAGGAACUGUUAGAUCAUGUAGCACUGUCACACUUACUAAAAGGUCCCCACCGCAACAUUAUUGUUAAUACCGGGAACCCUUGGGGAAAGGGACUUACUUCUCAAAGCUUUGAGUGACCAGGGUUUGAAACCUGAAGACAUCCACUAUGUUAUUUGCUUAAAAGGACACAUAAAACAGAUUGGCAACCUCAACCUCUUCUCUGGAGCUGUCCAUUGUGUAGGCUAUGAUAUUUGUCAA